CAGCGAUGUAUUCGUGUAAAUGUUCUUGCGCUUGAUGUUCUAAAUCAGGCUUUCUUUAAAUGACGUAAAAGAUACAGUAGCGUCAUGACCACAAACACAAUCGAGCCUAUUACUACAGCAAUACCUUAAAAUAUUAUAGUUUAUUUAAAUUUACAGCAGGGAUUUGAGAUUUUUACGUAAAUGCAGAUUUUGACUGUGAUUGCAGGUUGUAGGUUGCGAGAAGUGGUUGAGGACAACACAUUCCUCUAACUUCUGGAUAGAUAUGCCUGAUGAUUUAGGCACCGGUUUCAUCUAAAAAAUCUGAAAGAUUAAUUAAAAUAAUGUAUAACCCUACUCAUUUUCCCCGUCAACGUUGGCAUGUCCCAAAGGAACAAGAAAGGAACUUUGUCGCUGCAUUCUUUCACAUGGCAACAAUAGCAUUGACAUGCACAUCGUUGGCGCAACUUGGAUGGUUCCGUUUGAAAGGUGGUCAUUGUGCACCACAUCUAGCUGUCUACCAGUUCUUUAGUUUUGGAUAUUUUGAUACUGGUACGAGGCAAACAGAUCUGCAGUUCCAUGCAAGAGAAGUGUCCUCAUCUCCUUUACCAAUUCAAUACCACUCACCAAGUGGAACUCUUCAGUGCGUUACACCAGAGAUUGCCAGCUUGAUGCGUGUCAUAAUUAUAUUAUGUUUCAUGGCAAUGAUAUGUUCUCUUGUUGGAUUUUUCUUGGAUAUUGUGGGUCCCACAAAAAAAGCCAUGAAAGUUAUACAGAGGAAUUCAAUUCCAAGUAUAUUUACAGUUCUGUGGGUGAUAGCCAUCAUUGGUGUUUGUUAUGAUGUCACAAAACUAAUUGAGGUGUCAGGAAUACAAGUUUAUUAUGAAUAUGGUUGUUACACAAUAACUGCAGCAGGUGCAGUUGCUGUGUGUGCAACAGCUUGCAAUCUGCUACAAUACCACUCUCCCAUUGAGGAGAUACAGCGGCGCCCCCUCAUAGAUGACUGGGAUGGUAUCGAGACAUUCUCUGUUAUGGGGAGUGGUCCAAGAGGUGCGGACACUCCUCUUGAGAGCAUCACUCCGCCCCCACCAUACAGCCCCUGACCCAUCACCAACUGAGGAUGCCCCAACAUCCACUGACUGGCAAUGAACCUGUGAUAAUAACCUCAUUAUUUAGUUUGAAGACAUUCUUGAGCGCAGAUGUAACAGUUCCUCCAAUGUCAGAGUUAUGUGAGGUUUGAGGUGCUGAUGGCAGUGACUGUAAAGAUUACUGAAGUUUCAGAAGAAUAUACUGCGUCCAUCUUCAUAGAAAAAUAUCCUGAACAUGGAAGGUGGUGGUAUGGAAUAGAGACAGGAACAGCCAAGCUAUGAGUCCUGAGUGAACCAACUGGACUAAGAAGAAUGCCCUUUUCAAGGGCCUCGGUUUCUUUUCCAUUCUCCUUACGAUGAGUUCCUCAGGGCUCCCAGCCUGGCUAUCCCUUUAUAUCAUUUUUUACCUCCAGAAAUAAUAGGACUAUAAAAAUAUAUUUAAUUAGAUUUUAUACUUUAAGAACUGCAUAUGUAGUAACUAGAAUGCAAGUCAAAAUGUGUCAUUACUUUCCAUACAUGAUAGAAUUAAAGUUGUAGGCAUGCUCAUUUCAUAUCAUGACUGAUCUUUCAUGUGGGGAACAAAGAUGAUUGUCCUUGCAUUGUGAUAAACUGUGAAAGCAAGAGAAAAAAAAUGAAACCAGAAAUUUCAUAAUUUUAUUUUUUCCUAGAUAAAGUUAAAACAAAGAAAAACUGGUAAAUCAUGAGUACAAGUAAAGACGCUUGUCUUGCAGAGGGUGGUCCUUUGGCGAGGAAAAGUGAAUGUAUUCUGUUCUUAGUACAUAACAUAGCACACUGCACAUCAUUGAUCAUUCUCAUUGUUCAGUAUAUUCAGUUUUCCUCAUCACUGGCUCUUGCACUACAAUCCAUGGGGGCCUUCAGUCACAUUGAACAUUUUUCGUGUUCUACAAAGACUAAAAUAAUUUAAUUUCAUUGUUUUGAGACUGGUAGACAAGGAUGGUUGUUAGAUGGUGGUAAUACUAUUGGAUGGAGCAGCAAGCCCAAGUUCAAACCUCUGUGUGGAGACUGGCCAUCCAGAGAAAACAUGGGCUAUACUUUAAACCAGGCCUGGCCACUUACAAAUAAUCUCAAAUUCAUUCAUUCAUUCAUUCAGAAGUAACCUCUCAUUUGUUAGUGUGUAACCAGCGCAGAAGAAAAACGUCCUGCAAUAAGUAAAGAUUAAUCAGUUUUCUUUCAGUCUAUGGAUCUGUGGUCUCUAUAGAAAACUGAAGACUUCACUGUAACGAGAAGGCAGCCCUCCCAUGAUGACAGUAUAGUUGGUGCCUCGUCUAUGGAUCUGUGGUCUCUAUAGAAAACUGAAGACUUCACUGUAACGAGAAGGCAGCCCUCCCAUGAUGACAGUAUAGUUGGUGCCUCGUAACUUUAGCCGUGCAGAAAGGUAAAUGCUGUUGUGGAGCACACAAAGCUGUACACUUGCUGUGGUGAUGUUCAGAGCUACUCCCAGAGUGGAAAACAUUACCUAUGGAGACCAAUUAACAAGCAACACAACGUACUAUACACCUGACCACACUCCAAGACGCUACAUUCCAAACUGGUAGUACCCACACUGACGCAAGGUGAUAAGACUGCCCUCCCCCACCCCCACGAGAGAUGGUAUGACCCCUCUACAACGGCUAGAGUUCCGAGGAACUAACAGUAGUCAGGCUGUUACCGUCAUUCCUGUUGUUAGGCCUGUUUAGUUUUUUACGUGUGUAUAAAGCAAGAAAUCUUUAGUCUUUUUAAAAGUCUUCAGAAGUUUUUUGGGGGGUCCUACCUGUGCUCAUUUUGCAAUAUAUUUUUUUCAAUUUCUUCUUUAGGUUUGUACCAAUCUCACUACUGCUAAAAAUGGUAAAUCAGACGA